GUCGAGCGGUAACAGAAAGUAGCUUGCUACUUUGCUGACGAGCGGCGGACGGGUGAGUAAUGCUUGGGAACAUGCCUUGAGGUGGGGGACAACAGUUGGAAACGACUGCUAAUACCGCAUAAUGUCUACGGACCAAAGGGGGCUUCGGCUCUCGCCUUUAGAUUGGCCCAAGUGGGAUUAGCUAGUUGGUGAGGUAAUGGCUCACCAAGGCGACGAUCCCUAGCUGGUUUGAGAGGAUGAUCAGCCACACUGGGACUGAGACACGGCCCAGACUCCUACGGGAGGCAGCUGUGGGGAAUAUUGCACAAUGGGCGC
rnacentral:rRNA from 1 species